rnacentral:rRNA from 1 species
AGUGAACGCUGGCGGUAGGCCUAACACAUGCAAGUCGAACGGCAGCACAGUAAGAGCUUGCUCUUACGGGUGGCGAGUGGCGGGCGGGUGAGGAAUACAUCGGAAUCUACUUUUUCGUGGGGGAUAACGUAGGGAAACUUACGCUAAUACCGCAUACGACCUACGGGUGAAAGCAGUGGAUCUUCGGACCUUGCGCGAUUGAAUGAGCCGAUGUCGGAUUAGCUAGUUGGCGGGGUAAAGGCCCACCAAGGCGACGAUCCGUAGCUGGUCUGAGAGGAUGAUCAGCCACACUGGAACUGAGACACGGUCCAGACUCCUACGGGAGGCAGCAGUGGGGAAUAUUGGACAAUGGGCGCAAGCCUGAUCCAGCCAUACCGCGUGGGUGAAGAAGGCCUUCGGGUUGUAAAGCCCUUUUGUUGGGAAAGAAAAGCAGCAGGUUAAUACCCCGCUGUUCUGACGGUACCCAAAGAAUAAGCACCGGCUAACUUCGUG